GGAAGCCAGAAGAAUGAAGUGCCACACAUAUCAUUAGAGAGAAUUCCAAGAAAGAGGGAAUGAUCUAUAGUGUCUCAAGCCACAUUAAUCCUUCAAGAACAGUGUUAACUUUCUCAGGCUACUGGAACUCCACUUUUUGGAACUGUUAUGUUUACUGUUGGGGAGUGACUUUGGCACCAAGGAAAACUUGGCUCAAAUGAAUGGUUUUGGAUCACACAUCUUCAUGAUUUGGGAAUGAUAUGUGUGUUUAUUUUACGAAAAAUGUUAGUAAUGAAGCAUUUAAAAUAUAUCAAAAG